rnacentral:rRNA from 1 species
CCUACGGGCGGCUGCAGUGAGGAAUAUUGGUCAAUGGGCGCGAGCCUGAACCAGCCAAGUCGCGUGAGGGAAGACGGUCCUAUGGAUUGUAAACCUCUUUUGUCGGGGAGCAAAAGACGCCACGCGUGGCGUUCCGAGCGUACCCGAAGAAAAAGCAUCGGCCAACUCCGUGCCAGCAGCCGCGGUAAUACGGAGGAUGCGAGCGUUAUCCGGAUUUAUUGGGGUUAAGGGGUGCGCAGGCGGAAGAUCAAGUCAGCGGUAAAAUUGGGGGGCUCAACCUCUUCGAGCCGUUGAAACUGGUUUUCUGGAGUGAGUGAGAAGUAUGCGGAAUGCGUGGUGUAGCGGUGAAAUGCAUAGAUAUCACGCAGAACUCCGAUUGCGAAGGCAGCAUACCGGCGCUCAACUGACGCUCAUGCACGAAAGUGUGGGUAUCGAACAGGAUUAGAUACCCGAGUAGUC